CUAUGACCGCUAAUCUGGUUGUUGAGUGAGCUAGUGUCGCUGUUUGUAGUUUUGUAUGAACUAAUAGCUUCUGUUACAGUUGUCAGAGAGCUUGAACUGCAUGUGAUUUCGUCACAUCGAUAGACAGCGUCAAGCAUGUGUAAAGGACCUGGUGUAUCUCUACAACAAUAAAGAGCAGGGCAUAAACGAGAAGACGAAGACAUCGCUUGGAUAUGCCAGUGAUUAGGCUGCUUCCGCAUCACACCAUCUAUACUCCGAAAGAUGCUGCGAUAUGACCGUUGCGAAGAGGCGUAGCGACCGUCCAUGUGAUGAUGAUUAUUAUGACCAUUAUCACUGAUUAUCUUUUUUGUACAUGUUUCAUUACUUGAUUUAAGAUUUUAAUAAACAAGCACGUAAAUGGU